GACGAACGCUGGCGGCGUGGAUUAGGCAUGCAAGUCGAACGGUAGGAUACUUUCGGGUAUCUGAGAGUGGCGAACGGGUGAGUAACACGUAGGUGAUCUACCCUCAAGAUUGGGACAACCCAGGGAAACUUGGGCUAAUACCGGAUGAAAGCAGCAGUGAUGUUGUUUGAAAGGUGGCGUAAGCUGCCGUUUGGGGAUGAGCCUGCGCUCUAUUAGUUAGUUGGCGGGGUAAAGGCCCACCAAGGCGAUGAUAGAUAGGCGGCCUUAACGGGUGGUCGCCCACACUGGGAUUGAGAUACGGCCCAGACUCCUACGGGAGGCAGCAGUCGAGAAUAGUCUACAAUGGCCGAAAGGCUGAUAGUGCGACGCCGCGUGAACGAAGAAGCCCUUCGGGGUGUAAAGUUCUUUUAUAUGUGAGCAGUGCUUUUCAUGUUAACAGCAUGGGGAGAGAGAUAUUAGCAUAUGAAUAAGCAACGGCUAACUCCGUG
rnacentral:rRNA from 1 species